UGUGUAUACCUUUGACUGUGGCGGUAACUCGAGAUGGACUGGUUGACUGGCUCGGCAAUCUUGUUACCUUUUAUUGUUACCUCCAAAAUUGACUAUACGUGGAAAACUUUGAUGUCAGAAAAAAUGCGUGUUCAUUCAGUUGUAGUUUUAUUUGUUUAGAUAAUGCUCCUCUUCCCAUCUAUUGUUGGAAUAAGUUAGCAACAAAAGCGUUUCCUGUUUCCCGUCUGCCGGGAAGCGAUGAUGGGAAUCGCACGAUCCUCCCAUCACGUCGAAAUCGAUAGUCGCUCAAUUCGUUGCCUUGGAACAAAAGAGUUAUAGGCCGAAUUUCCACGGAAUCAACAAGCCGUGCAUGGGUCAAAAUAACUGUAACCGAGAACUCGAGUAUACGCAAUAUUGUGUCUGUUUCACAUAGCAACAAGAUAUUACUAGGUGUCCCAAAGAGGGUACAGCACUAUACUGCCCUUCAGUCAAAAUGUCAGCCUAUAUCAGCCGGGUGCUGAACUUGAUCGAAUAAAUAAAGGAAUCAUUAUUCGUUUCCGUUACUCAGAAAUGUAAACCGGUUCUCCAUUUUCAAAACAGAGACACAUGGCUGAACGGCACAGACAAACAUGAUGGCUCAUCAUCGCCAAAUGGCCGGGCUCGUUCCAUUAAUAAAUGGAACGAGUCUCAAAUAUUGAAACAAACAGUUAUUUUUUAAAUUGCUCAGCAGAAAACUGGACCCAGUGUUGAUAACCUAGGAUCCGAAUUUCGAGAAUUGCGGCUACAAUUCCACGUCAAGAAGCCUAAACAGAUUGUGGCCUCCUUGCCCUUACGAUUUUCAACUUGAACGCCAAGUAAUAUUAGAUCGACGCUUUCAAGACACAUUUGGAACUGUAGGCUGGCAGAAAGUUUAGAAUUCAGCAAAAUUGAUUAUUUUAUGACAAUCAAAUCGCUGAAAAUCUCAAGUUAAUAUAUUUGAAGUUGAGAAUUAUUCACCGAAUAAGUUUCUAAAUGUAAUUCUGUAUAAUUUUAUAGUUGAAAUCACAUAGUGUCUUGUUAUGGCCUCUGCUUUGGAUUGUGCUGAGUAGUUACAAUUGACUUUCGUACACUGCGUAUAUCAUACGUAUUCAACUAAUUCAAGGACUAAGAAUCAAGUAUCAGUUUGGACGGGAUUUUAUUUAUGCAACGUUGUUGUAUAUGAUGUGAGUGCACUUUUUUCUAACAUGAUAUAUCGAAAUAGGAACUUAAGGUUUCAGAACAAAUCACUGGUUAUAGUCUCUACAUUUUUUGUUUAAGUUAAAAGUCCAAAAGUUUGAAGACAGAAAUUGGACAUGCGGAGAAAUGAGUGAGACAACCGCUGGCUGCUCUACCCUUCAAAUAGGCGUCGUUGUAUUCGUCCUUAUUCCUUUUCCCCAAGAAAUGCAGCUCAGGGGGCAGCGAUGUAAAAUUGAUGAAAUUCUGCUCGUGUUGAGGAAAAUCCGAUUCAGUGGGC